GAUGAAGAACGUAGCGAAAUGCGAUAAGUAGUGUGAAUUGCAGAAUUCCGUGAAUCAUCGAAUCUUUGAACGCACAUUGCGCCUUCUGGUAUUCCGGAAGGCAUGCCUGUUCGAGAGUCAUUAACAACCGUUUCGAUCCCUUUCUUUCAGAAAUUACAAAGAGGAAAGGGGUUUGGUUAUGGUGGAGGAGGGAAAGGGAGCGUUUAGCCUGUAAAAAAAGAGGCUGUGUUCCGCCUCCCCCCCAAAAUUGUACAGGCGGUCGUGUGCGCCCACGCAUCGAGGUGUUGUAAAAGCUGCCACGGCACUUUUCACCUGUGCAGUGCGAGAUUGGCCAGCCGGUUUAAAAACCCCUCCAAACAAUCAAAGGUUGACCUCGGAUCAGGUAGGGAUACCCGCUGAACUUAAGCAUAUCAAUAAGCGGAGGA
rnacentral:misc_RNA from 1 species